CAGGCUCCUUUCGGUGGCCGGUUGUCGUGACGCCUCGGUGGGGCCAGCGGACUGCCCUGGGUCCCUCGGCGUGGGAGGUGCCCCGUCUGCCAGACUGCUCUCGAGUGGAUUUCUGGGCCAGAUCCCGUCUCUCGAUUGAUUGGGGUAUGCACCGGACCUCAGCAUUUUGGCACAAAAAGUAACUUCACACGGCACCGGUGAUUUUGAAUUAUUUUUUAUUUUUUUCCCCAAUGGAUGGAAGCAAAUGCUAUAAAACAUUGAUUCCUUUCCCGACCCACCGCUGAGGCACAAGCCUUCUACUGGAGACAUUGGACCUUGGUAACAGAGCUCUCAGGAAAAGGAUCAUCACCAUCUAAAUACACACCCAACCACCCACAAAGAUGCUGACAUCCAUCUGCUGUUGAAGUGGACACUCAGCUGAUAACAACAACACAACCAAAUAUUCCCAUGCCGUGAAGAACAAACGGUGAAUCUGAUCGUCUUCUAUCUUUUCUACCUCACGCCUAAACCUUGCCUGUCGUCAACCUAACCACCAUGACGCACACGUACACACACGUUAACAGCUGUUCACUCUCAUGAUCCCUUCCAUCUAUGUCAACCCCAACCCCCACAAUGUACCCCAUUUCUCCCCCUGCUACUCAUGUAAACAACAGCCCCACCCUCUCCAUUUCAAUCACCUCCGUCAAGCACCCCAGCUCCAACUAUCUAGGCUACCAAACACACAUGCACACACACGCUAAGACCCCUGCACAAAACCACACACACAUACAGUCACCCCUACAUACAACUGCAACGUAAACAUCCAGGCAAUGUCCCUGCCCCCCUCUUCAACUCUCAGGAAUGCAUGGCCAGCUGGUGGAGGAAAUAAAAAACGAAGACACAUAGCAAAACAGGAAAUGCAUCAGCAGGGGCCUAUCAGAGGGCUUUAUCAGGCCAGUGGCAGCUCAACUGAGAACCUGGGUGGCGCCGCAUUCUGAUUGGCUGAUCAAAGCGGCAGCUGUGUCAUUACAGGUCAUGAGGUCAGGGGGUAAUCAUGAAAGGUUACGAGCAUGCACAUUUGUGCAUGUGUGUGAUGCCACGGCAAUCUAAAUGCAGGGGAGCUGGAGGAAAUAUGCAAGGAAACGAGGAAGAUGCCAGAAGAUGCUACUGGUUGAGUGAGAAAGUAAGGAUCACUUGGAGAAAGUCAAAGAACAGACAAGGAUGCAGCUGUCAGGGCAAUUCACUUGCCAAUACAUUGUUUCGCCCUCUAUUAUGGAAAUAAUCACUACUCAUUUUGUGGGUACCUAAUGAAAACCACAUUUCACAAUUUUCAAUAGUUUGGGGUCUGGAUGCUAAAAAUAAAACUAAACCAUUGACACAAUGAGAAGAAUGUCACAAAAACCGGUGAUGCAUGAUUUGCUAGGUGUCGUAGAAUAGGUGUGACAACUAACUAGUCAAUAGUUCUACAUUUGACAUUCCAAAGUGCAUGGUUUUAUGGUGGUUUUCAGUAAUGUAUGCUCUCUUUCCACUAAGCUCUUCUUAAAUCUACAAAUACAUUCCACAGCUACACACUUUGUGAGAUUCCCCAAAUCAGAAGACAACGGAAAAUGAGCGCUUUCAGCAAAGCUUGAUUGCAAGGGAAAAGCAUCUCAGUUUCUUGGA